UCCAGCUACAGACUGACCCCAGCCUAUUCGUCGCCUCGGCCGCAAAUCACCUCCUGGCCCGCCUCCUAACCUUCCACCAGCCGGCUACAACCUCACACACAACCCAGGGGAAUGGCCUCACUGUUCCACCCAAUAAGGAAGAGGUAGAAUUGGACAUAACCAUGGAGACAAGUCCAGGAAGCGGGUGUUCCAUCACCAUGGAGAUCUUGAAGCACCUGGAGAUCUCUCUGGAGUCAGACAGCCACACCCAGGUGCUCCAGGGGCUGAGGCUGCUGGCCCUGACUCUCCCCGAGCUGGAGGCUCCUCUGCGGGGCUCGGUGAUCAGGCGAGUCCUGAGGCCUCUGGAGGGUUGGUCCGAGAAGGAGCAGUCGCGCAGCCUCUAAUGGACGUCCUGCUGGCUACAUACAGGUCUCUCUGCAGGUCCGGUCCGUGUGACUCCAGACUCGUCUCUCUGAUGGCGUCCAUGUUGAACUCCCAGAAUCCCUCUGACGCUGCUCUGUGUGCCGCCGCCACCCUCCAUCCGGAGACCUGUCCUCCAGGCCUCAGACAGAAGAUCGUA